AUCUCUUGAGUAUGAUUAGUACAUUUACCUUCCAAGUAAAAAGAUUAAAUUAUUUUAAAAGAGAUA
rnacentral:tRNA from 1 species